ensembl:rRNA 5S_rRNA 5S ribosomal RNA
UAUGAUAAUUAUAAUUCUUUUAUAAGCCACAGCCCAAGACCAGUUACUCACUGAAGCUAAGCAGGGCUGAGCCUGGUUAGUACCUUCAUGGGAGACCACAUGGGAAAACUAGGUUGCUGUUGGAA